rnacentral:rRNA from 1 species
CCAAUAGCGUAUAUUAAAGUUGUUGCAGUUAAAAAGCUCGUAGUUGAAUUUCGGGGUCAGCAGGUUGGUCGUGCCUAUGGUAUGUACUGGCUUUACUGAUUCCUCCUUCUUGAAGAACUGUAAUGUCAUUAAUUUGGUGUUGCAGGGAAACAGGACUGUUACUUUGAAAAAAUUAGAGUGUUUAAAGCAGGCUAACGCUUGAAUACAUUAGCAUGGAAUAAUGAAAUAGGACGUUUGAUCCUAUUUUGUUGGUUUCUAGGAUUGACGUAAUGAUUAAUAGGGAUAGUUGGGGGCAUUAGUAUUCAAUUGUCAGAGGUGAAAUUCUUGGAUUUAUUGAAGACUAACUACUGCGAAAGCAUUUGCCAAGGAUGUUUUCAUUAAUCAAGAACGAAAGUUAGGGGAUCGAAGACGAUCAGAUACCGUCGUAGUCUUAACCAUAAACUAUGCCGACUAGGGAUCGGAUGAUGUUAAUUUUUUAAUGACUCAUUCGGCGCCUUACG